rfam:Escherichia vulneris NBRC 102420 DNA, contig: EV10242022.
UUGCAUUUGUGCCCAUGAGGAUGAGAACCUCCGGGGGCAGGGAGGUUCGACCCGAGCAGCGCGAGGGAACGUUGCGCCAGCAACGGCCCGAAGGGCGAGUCACAAAGUGACGAGUAAUCCUCUAUCACCGACCA